rnacentral:rRNA from 1 species
AAUGAACGCUGGCGGCGUGCUUAACACAUGCAAGUCGAGCGAGGCCUGGGGGGCAACUCCCAGAGUCGAGCGGCGGACGGGUGAGUAACACGUGGGUAACCUGCCCGGAAGUGGGGAAUACCUCGGGGAAACUCGAGCUAAUACCGCAUGACAUCUUCGGGACGAAAGUCCUGACGAUCAAAGCGGGGUCGCAAGAUCUCGCGCUACCGGAUGGGCCCGCGCCCGAUUAGCUAGUUGGGAGGUAACGGCUCACCAAGGCUUCGAUCGGUAACCGGCCUGAGAGGGCGAUCGGUCACACCGGAACUGAGACACGGUCCGGACUCCUACGGGAGGCAGCAGUGGGGAAUCUUGCGCAAUGGGCGAAAGCCUGACGCAGCAACGCCGCGUGGAGGAUGAAGGCCCUUGGGUUGUAAACUCCUGUCGGCUGGGAAGAAGUCGUGCGGUGCUCAUACCACCGUGCGUUGACUGUACCAGCAAAGGAACG